GAUGAACGCUGGCGGCGUGCCUAAUACAUGCAAGUCGAGCGAACCUCUUCGGAGGUUAGCGGCGGACGGGUGAGUAACACGUGGGUAACCUGCCUGUAAGACUGGGAUAACUUCGGGAAACCGAAGCUAAUACCGGAUACUUUUUUAAGUCGCAUGACUCGAAAUGGAAAGNCGGCUUCGGCUGUCACUUACAGAUGGACCCGCGUCGCAUUAGCUAGUUGGUGAGGUAACGGCUCACCAAGGCGACGAUGCGUAGCCGACCUGAGAGGGUGAUCGGCCACACUGGGACUGAGACACGGCCCAGACUGCUACGGGAGGCAGCAGUAGGGAAUCUUCGGCAAUGGGCGAAAGCCUGACCGAGCAACGCCGCGUGAGUGAUGAAGGCUUUCGGGUCGUAAAACUCUGUUGUUAGGGAAGGANAAGUACGAGAGUAACUGCUCGUACCUUGACGGUACCUAACCAGAAAGCCACGGCUAACUACGUGC
rnacentral:rRNA from 1 species